UAAGUCCACAAAUGAGUGUGAGAUAGUCUGAAUUCAACUUGGAUUGCAAGGCAAGUGUUCGUGAAGAUUUGAAAUUUGAUUCUUGCCAAGUGAUGACACCAUGUUCAUGCCAUGCGCAGCCUAUGCAUUCCUUGUCCAAAAUGGAUGAAUUUGAGCUCUUUGGAAAGGUGAGAUCAAGAGGAAUAACUUUCUGUUCAACACUUUUCCAUUUGGAGUUUGUAACUUGAAUAAAUUUGAGGUGGAAGUUUGGAAAUUUUUGACAU
rnacentral:lncRNA from 1 species